AAGUCGUAACAAGGUCUCCGUUGGUGAACCAGCGGAGGGAUCAUUAAAGAGUAGUUUUUACAACAACUCCAAACCCAUGUGAACUUACCUAUGUUGCCUCGGCGGGGAAACUACCCGGUAGCUACCCUGUAGCUACCCUGUAAGGACUACUCGUCGACGGACCAUUAAACUCUGUUUUUCUAUGAAACUUCUGAGUGUUUUAACUUAAUAAAUUAAAACUUUCAACAACGGAUCUCUUGGUUCUG
rnacentral:misc_RNA from 1 species